AGAUGCUGCAGUUAUUAAAGAAAAGGGGAAAUCAGCCCCUGCAAAGAAAGCUGAAAUUUACAAAGAAAACGCCAAAGCAGCUUCAUCAAAGAAAGAGUCCAAGGAAACUAAGGAACAAGCCAAACCAGAGCCUUCAAAAGAAGAUGCUGAAGCAAAAGAAAAGGCCAAAUUAACUCCAGAAAAGAAAGAAGCUGCAGUUAUUAAAGAAAAGGACAAAUCAGCCCCUGCAAAGAAAGAUGCUGCAGUUAUUAAAGAAAAGGGGAAAUCAGCCCCUGCAAAGAAAGCUGAAAUUUACAAAGAAAACGCCAAAGCAGCUUCAUCAAAGAAAGAGUCCAAGGAAACUAAGGAACAAGCCAAACCAGAGCCUUCAAAAGAAG